rnacentral:rRNA from 1 species
GACGAACGCUGGCGGCGUGCUUAACACAUGCAAGUCGAACGGAAAGGCCCUGCUUUUGUGGGGUGCUCGAGUGGCGAACGGGUGAGUAACACGUGAGUAACCUGCCCUUGACUUUGGGAUAACUUCAGGAAACUGGGGCUAAUACCGGAUAGGAGCUCCUGCUGCAUGGUGGGGGUUGGAAAGUUUCGGCGGGUGGGGAUGGACUCGCGGCUUAUCAGCUUGUUGGUGGGGUAGUGGCUUACCAAGGCUUUGACGGGUAGCCGGCCUGAGAGGGUGACCGGCCACAUUGGGACUGAGAUACGGCCCAGACUCCUACGGGAGGCAGCAGUGGGGAAUAUUGCACAAUGGGCGGAAGCCGGAUGCAGCAACGCCGCGUGCGGGAUGACGGCCUUCGGGUUGUAAACCGCUUUCGCCUGUGACGAAGCGUGAGUGACGGUAAUGGGUAAAGAAGCACCGGCUAACUACGUG